rnacentral:tRNA from 1 species
GGCCUGGUAGCUCGGCUGGUAGAGUGCGGUGUUUACAAACCGUAGGCGGCUUCCAUGCGUGGGUUCGAAUCCCAUCGAGGUCA